GCUGGGUAUGGUGGUGGGCACCUAUAUAGUCCCAGCUACUCAGGAGGCUGUGGGGUGGGAGGAUUAGUUGAGCCCAGGAGUUCUGGCCUGUGGUGUGCUAUGCCAAUCAGGUAUCUGUACUAAGUUUAGCAUCAAUAUGGUGACCUUAUGGGAGCAGAGGCCACCAGUUUGCCUAAGGAAGGGUGAACCAGCCCAGGUUGGAAAUUGAAUGUCAGAACUUGUGUUCUCAUCACUAGCAGGAUCAUGCCUGUGAAUGAAUAGCUGCUGCACUGCAGCCUGGACAACAAAGUGAGACGCUUUCUCU
rnacentral:SRP_RNA from 1 species